AAACUGCCCCCCCAAAGAAUCUUCCCACCAGGACACUCGGCUCUCUGGGGCAAGGCAGGCGGGUACACGAGAGACGGGCCUUCCACUGAGAUGGUGACUCAGUGGCCACUGUCCCCUUCCUCUGGAACGUGGAAACCCAGUUAUUCCAACACACCUGAUGCGGUUCCCAGGCUUCCUGGCACUCCCACCUGCUCUUCUUGGAUCUGAGCUUUCAUAUUUCCCCUCGCAAUCAUAGUUACAUCUGUGUGCCCUGGGGCAAGGGAUUGCUCUCCUGAGCCUCAGUUUCCCUACCAGUAACGCAAGGAUGCUACAAGCCACCUCAUAGGGUUGCCCUGAAGAUGAACCAGGUUUAACUUAGCAGCUCCAGGCGUGGCCCGGGCCAUGGAAGCCUGACCCGGAGGCCCCGAGGCGCUGUGCAUAAGAAUAAACAUAUCUUGGCUCCUGGGCCCCAAUGGGGGGCCCCUUGUGACCCCCACCUUGACUGCCAGCGUGUUCUCUAGACUCACAUACCCCGGGAGAUGGAUCAUUCGCUGUUAUCUCCCUUUGGUGUAGACUCGCAGGCUCACCUGUCCUAGAAUCCAGAGACUUGGAAGGCAGUGCACUCAGACCCAACGAUCACAGAGCACGACAGGAUGGAUUCCCACUCCACUUUGGAUGAGAUUAUGUGUGCACUUUCUGGCACGAUAUUUGAUCUGAUGAAAAGCCGUGUUUCAAACGGAUAAGUAAUAAUGCGCAGGGUGCAGAACUCCUAAAGUCCUUGUCCUUUCCUAAGUGAGAGAAAGGGCUUUUGUUAUUUGCAACAAGCCCUUUGGAUCACAACUGAGCUUGUGCUAAAGUGGAGACUUAGUGUGGGGGUCCCUACGCAGCCUGUGGAUUGGGGCUGGAUAUGAGGGAGAGCAAGUCAUUAGACAAAGCAAGUCAUUAGACAUUAGACAAGACAUUAGACAGAGCAAGUCAUUAGACAGUAAGAGGCCCCUUCCACGGAUGAGGGGCUAUAUAAAAGAACAAGACUUGAAAAGCUUCUGGGCUAGUGCCUCCACAUGCCGGGAGGACGAAGCUCCCCAGUUCCAUGGGGGCAAAAGACCUGAACAGACACUUCACCAAAGAGGACAUACAGGUAGCAGGCCAAGUUUUGUCGACCACAGUGCCAGUGACCAUCUGGAGCCUGAUCAUUCUGCAUUAUGAGGCAGUCCUGGGCAUCCUAGGACGUUUAGCAGCUUCCCUGACCUCUACCCACUAGACUAUGCCGAGUGCACUGCAAUCAAAAAUGUCUCCAGGGCAGCCCGGGGGGCGGGGGGGCCCAGGGGUCUAGUGCUGCCUUCAGUCCA